GUUGCAGUGAUGAGUUUCUGUAUACCGCCCCAGUCUGAUUGAUCAAAUGACUGAAUGGUAAUAUUUCUGAUGCCAAU